UACUGUCGGUCGUUCUUGAAGUUGAUGG
rnacentral:sRNA from 1 species